AAAAAAAUUUUUAUAGUUUAAUUAUUUUAUUUUAAAUUUAUUUUACAUACAAAUUUUAGUAUAAAUUUUUAAUUAUUUUAAUAAUAAUAAUUUAUGUAGUAAUUAAUUUUAAAUUAUUUAAGAAAUUAAGAUUUAUUAAUAUUUAAAUAAAUAACAAAUUUUGUGCCAGCAGUUGCGGUUAUACAAAAAUUUAAUUAAAAUUUUUCAGUAUAUAAUAAAUAAAUAUUAUAUUUAAAAUAAAAGUUAAAUUAUUAAGUGAAAUUUUAAUUUAAUAAAAUUUUAUUUAUAAAUUAUGAUUUAAUAAAUUUAAUAAAAAACUAGGAUUAGAUACCCUAUUAUUAAAAAUUAAAAAAAUAAUACUAAAAUAGUAAAUAAUUAUUUAUUGAAACUUAAAUAAUUUGGCGGUAUUUUAGUUCAUUUAGAGGAAUCUGUCUAAUAAUUGAUAAUCCACGAUUAAAUUUACUUAAUUUAUAAUUUUAUAUAUCGUUGUUAAAAAAAUAUUUUUAAAUAAUAAUAAUAUUUUAAAUUUAUAAUUAAAAAUUAAUUCAGAUCAAGAUGUAGAAAAUAAUUAAGAAUAUGAUGGAUUACAAUAAAUUUAUUUAAAUGAAUUUUUAUUUGUAAAAAUAAUAUGAAAGUGGAUUUAAAUGUAAUUUUAUUUAAUUAAAUAAAAUGAUUAAAAAUUAAAAUAUGUACAUAUUGCCCGUCGCUUUCAUUUAAAAAUUGGAAUAAGUCGUAACAAAGUAGAUGUACUGGAAAGUGUUUCUAGAA
rnacentral:ncRNA from 1 species